GAUGAAUAACGCAGCGAAAUGCGAUAAGUAGUGUGAAUUGCAGAAUUCAGUGAAUCAUCGAAUCUUUGAACGCACAUUGCGCCCCUUGGUAUUCCAUGGGGCAUGCCUGUUCGAGCGUCAUUUGUACCUUCAAGCUCUGCUUGGUGUUGGGUGUUUGUCUCGCCUCUGCGUGUAGACUCGCCUCAAAACAAUUGGCAGCCGGCGUAUUGAUUUCGGAGCGCAGUACAUCUCGCGCUUUGCACUCAUAACGACGACGUCCAAAAGUACAUUUUUACACUCUUGACCUCGGAUCAGGUAGGGAUACCCGCUGAACUUAAGCAUAUCAAUAAGCGGAGGA
rnacentral:misc_RNA from 1 species